GUAAAUUACUUAAGCAUCAAAAUGUAUUUUCUUUACAACUAGACAAUGACCUUAAACGAAUUGAAAUAUUUGAAAUAGAAUAUUAUAAAUAUACAUUUAAGUGUUAAUUUAUAAUAUAGACAAUUGACUUACAUUUUCAAUAUUUUACUCAGGUCUUCAAUAUAAUAUUCAGCCUAGCAUAAAACGUAACAAUACGCAAUCAUCUUAUGCUCAAUCCUUUCAUACAAAUGAUAAUCAUGAGAACCACAAAUCUAUUCUUGAGAGCCUAAAAUAUAAAUUCACAAUUAACCAACCAGUUAUGGAUUCAUAAUUAUAA
rnacentral:lncRNA from 1 species